rnacentral:rRNA from 1 species
GAUGAACGCUGGCGGCGUGCCUAAUACAUGCCAGUCGAGCGAACAGACGAGGAGCUUGCUCCUCUGACGUUAGCGGCGGACGGGUGAGUAACACGUGGAUAACCUACCUAUAAGACUGGGAUAACUUCGGGAAACCGGAGCUAAUACCGGAUAAUAUAUUGAACCGCAUGGUUCAAUAGUGAAAGACGGUUUUGCUGUCACUUAUAGAUGGAUCCGCGCCGCAUUAGCUAGUUGGUAAGGUAACGGCUUACCAAGGCGACGAUGCGUAGCCGACCUGAGAGGGUGAUCGGCCACACUGGAACUGAGACACGGUCCAGACUCCUACGGGAGGCAGCAGUAGGGAAUCUUCCGCAAUGGGCGAAAGCCUGACGGAGCAACGCCGCGUGAGUGAUGAAGGUCUUCGGAUCGUGAAACUCUGUUAUUAGGGAAGAACAAAUGUGUAAGUAACUAUGCACGUCUUGACGGUACCUAAUCAGAAAGCCACGGCUAACUACGUG